rnacentral:rRNA from 1 species
CCUACGGGAGACAGCAGUGAGGAAUAUUGGUCAAUGGGCGCAAGCCUGAACCAGCCACGCCGCGUGAAGGAAGACGGCUCUAGGUGUUAUAAACUUCUUUUGUAAGGGAGUAAAUUGCGGUACGUGUGUCUGUUUGUAAGUAUAUUAUGAUUAAGGAUCGGCUAACUCCGUGCCAGCAGCCGCGGUAAUACGGAGGAUCCGAGCGUUAUCCGGAUUUAUUGGGUUUAAAGGGAGCGUAGAUGGUUUGUGAAGUCAGAGGUGAAAGUUGGCGGCUCAACCGUGAAACUGCAGUUGAUACUGGCCGGCUGGAGUACAGUUGAGGUAGGCGGAAUGCGUGGUGUAGCGGUGAAAUGCUUAGAUAUCACGAAGAACACCGAUUGCGAAGGCAGCUUACUAAACUGCCACUGACAUUGAGGCUCGAAAGCGUGGGGAGCAAACAGGAUUAGAUACCCCUGUAGUC